rnacentral:rRNA from 1 species
GAUGAACGCUGGCGGCGUGCUUAACACAUGCAAGUCGAACGGGAAACCUUUUAUUGAAGCUUCGGCAGAUUUAGCUGGUUUCUAGUGGCGGACGGGUGAGUAACGCGUGGGUAACCUGCCUUAUACAGGGGGAUAACAGUCAGAAAUGGCUGCUAAUACCGCAUAAGCGCACAGAGCUGCAUGGCUCAGUGUGAAAAACUCCGGUGGUAUAAGAUGGACCCGCUUUGGAUUAGCUGGUUGGUGGGGUAACGGCCCACCAAGGCGACGAUCCAUAGCCGGCCUGAGAGGGUGAACGGACACAUUGGGACUGAGACACGGCCCAGACUCCUACGGGAGGGAGCAGUGGGGAAUAUUGCACAAUGGGGGAAACCCUGAUGCAGCGACGCCGCGUGAAGGAAGAAGUAUCUCGGUAUGUAAACUUCUAUCAGCAGGGAAGAUAAUGACGGUACCUGACGAAGAAGCCCCGGCUAACUACGUG